CCUACGGGUGGCAGCAGUGGGGAAUAUUGGUCAAUGGGGGCAACCCUGAUCCAGCCAUGCCGCGUGUGUGAAGAAGGCCCUCGGGUUGUAAAGCACUUUCAGUGAGGAAGAACGCCUGGUGGUUAAUACCCAUCAGGAAAGACAUCACUCACAGAAGAAGCACCGGCUAACUCCGUGCCAGCAGCCGCGGUAAUACGGAGGGUGCGAGCGUUAAUCGGAAUUACUGGGCGUAAAGCGCGCGUAGGUGGCUUGAUAAGCCGGUUGUGAAAGCCCCGGGCUCAACCUGGGAACGGCAUCCGGAACUGUCAAGCUAGAGUGCAGGAGAGGAAGGUAGAAUUCCCGGUGUAGCGGUGAAAUGCGUAGAGAUCGGGAGGAAUACCAGUGGCGAAGGCGGCCUUCUGGACUGACACUGACACUGAGGUGCGAAAGCGUGGGUAGCAAACAGGAUUAGAUACCCCAGUAGUC
rnacentral:rRNA from 1 species